rfam:Dipodomys ordii contig_37958, whole genome shotgun sequence.
GGUGGCUCAGUGGUAGAGUGCUUGCCUUGCAUCCAUGAGGCCCUGAGUUCGAUUCCUCAGCACCA